UUGGUUCUUGUCACAGAUUAAAAAGGGAAUCAGGUGUAAGUCCUGGACAGUCCCGCUGCUGUAAUCGGCAUUAUUGCCAACAGACCAUAUGAUGUCACUGGGAGCAUUCCUGGGAAGACGUCUGUUGGAGCCGAAAGUCAGAAUACCUGCCAUUGCCAU
rnacentral:ncRNA from 1 species